rnacentral:rRNA from 1 species
UACGUAGGUGGCGAGCGUUAUCCGGAAUGAUUGGGCGUAAAGAGCGCGCAGGUGGUUAAUUAAGUCUGAUGUGAAAGCCCACGGCUUAACCGUGGAGGGUCAUUGGAAACUGGUUGACUUGAGUGCAGAAGAGGGAAGUGGAAUUCCAUGUGUAGCGGUGAAAUGCGUAGAGAUAUGGAGGAACACCAGUGGCGAAGGCGGCUUCCUGGUCUGCAACUGACACUGAGGCACGAAAGCGUGGGGAGCAAACAGG